CGUAGGGUGCGAGCGUUAAUCGGAAUUACUGGGCGUAAAGCGUGCGCAGGCGGUUUUGUAAGACAGAUGUGAAAUCCCCGGGCUCAACCUGGGACCUGCAUUUGUGACUGCAAGGCUAGAGUACGGUAGAGGGGGAUGGAAUUCCGCGUGUAGCAGUGAAAUGCGUAGAUAUGCGGAGGAACACCGAUGGCGAAGGCAAUCCCCUGGACCUGUACUGACGCUCAUGCACGAAAGCGUGGGGAGCAAACAGGAUUAGAUACCCUGGUAGUCCACGCCCUAAACGAUGUCAACUGGUUGUUGGAUCUUUACUGACUCAGUAACGAAGCUAACGCGUGAAGUUGACCGCCUGGGGAGUACGGCCGCAAGGUUG
rnacentral:rRNA from 1 species